GACGAACGCUGGCGGCGUGCCUAAUACAUGCAAGUCGAGCGAGCUUGCCUAGAUGAUUUUAGUGCUUGCACUAAAUGAAACUAGAUACAAGCGAGCGGCGGACGGGUGAGUAACACGUGGGUAACCUGCCCAAGAGACUGGGAUAACACCUGGAAACAGAUGCUAAUACCGGAUAUUAUGCUUUGACCGCAUGGUCUUAGUAUGAAAGCUAUAUGCGCUGCAAGAGAGCUUUGCGUCCUAUUAGCUAGUUGGUGAGGUAACGGCCCACCAAGGCGGUGAUAGGUAGCCGGCCUGAGAGGGUGAACGGCCACAAGGGGACUGAGACACGGCCCUU
rnacentral:rRNA from 1 species